rnacentral:rRNA from 1 species
UACGAAGGGUGCAAACGUUGCUCAGAAUUACUGGGCGUAAAGCGCACGUAGGCGGCUUUGUAAGUUAGAGGUGAAAGCCCGGGGCUCAACUCCGGAAUUGCCUUUAAGACUGCAUCGCUAGAAUUGUGGAGAGGUAAGUGGAAUUCCGAGUGUAGAGGUGAAAUUCGUAGAUAUUCGGAAGAACACCAGUGGCGAAGGCGACUUACUGGACACAUAUUGACGCUGAGGUGCGAAAGCGUGGGGAGCAAACAGG